rnacentral:rRNA from 1 species
UACGAAGGGGGCUAGCGUUGUUCGGAAUUACUGGGCGUAAAGCGAGUGUAGGCGGUUGCCCAAGUCCGGUGUGAAAGCCUUGAGCUCAACUCAAGAAAUGCACUUGGUACUGGGUGGCUAGAGGACCGGAGAGGAUAGUGGAAUUCCCAGUGUAGUGGUGAAAUACGUAGAGAUUGGGAAGAACACCAGUGGCGAAGGCGGCUAUCUGGACGGUUACUGACGCUAAGACUCGAAAGCGUGGGGAGCAAACAGG